rnacentral:rRNA from 1 species
AGAAUCAACGCUGGCGGCGUGCCUAACACAUGCAAGUCGAUCGAGAAAGUGGAGCAAUCCAUGAGUAAAGAGGCGCACGGGUGAGUAACACGUGACUAACCUACCUUCGAGUGGGGAAUAAACCUGGGGAAACCCGGGCUAAUACCGCAUAAUACCUACGGGUCAAAGGAGCAAUUCGCUUGAAGAGGGGUCGCGGCAGAUUAGUUAGUUGGCGGGGUAAUGGCCCACCAAGACGAUGAUCUGUA